rnacentral:rRNA from 1 species
UACGGAGGGUGCAAGCGUUAUCCGGAUUUACUGGGUUUAAAGGGUGUGUAGGCGGACUUUUAAGUCAGCGGUGAAAUCUCCGGGCUCAACCCGGAAACUGCCAUUGAUACUAUUUGUCUUGAAUGUUGUUUGAGGUGGGCGGAACGGGUCAUGUAGCGGUGAAAUGCAUAGAUAUGACCCGGAACACCGAUUGCGAAGGCAGCCCACUAAGCAACGAUUGACGCUGAGGCACGAAAGCGUGGGGAUCAAACAGG